rnacentral:rRNA from 1 species
UACGGGGGGGGCAAGCGUUGUUCGGAAUUACUGGGCGUAAAGGGCUCGUAGGUUGCCAACUAAGUCAGACGUGAAAUCCCUCGGCUUAACCGGGGAACUGCGUCUGAUACUGGAUGGCUUGAGUUCGGGAGAGGGAUGCGGAAUUCCAGGUGUAGCGGUGAAAUGCGUAGAUAUCUGGAGGAACACCGGUGGCGAAGGCGGGUCUCUGGGCCGAUACUGACGCUGAGGAGCGAAAGCGUGGGGAGCGAACAGG